rnacentral:lncRNA from 1 species
AUGAGUCCAAGGUCACAGCACUGGGAAAGUAUGGAGGGGAUAUUUGAUUCCUUGGUGGCAGGUGUGUACUCUUGCAUGUUCUGUGUUAGCUUUAUGUGUGUGUGUGUGUUUGCAUGUUCCUCUGCCUCUGUGUACCUGGGGGCAUUUGCAGCAUGUACACAAAUGGCCUGUCCAUGCACUUGUUUGCCCACAUGCCUACUGCAUGCUUACUGUGUACCUGCUUGUGGUUAUGUGUGUCUGAGUCUGUCUGCCUGUGUACCUCCCUAUUUGCUCACUUGCUUCUGCUUGUGCCUGGCAAAGUGUCUACAGUGUGGGCCAGGAGAUGUGGAAGGAGAUCAGGAGGGCCGAGGAGGGAAGGAGAUCCCAGAGGGGAUCUUGGAGGUCUGUCUCAGCUUGGGACCAGGAGUUGAAAAUGAGGAAGAAGUAGACCCAGCAGCGUGGGCCAGCAAAGAAUGCCUACUGUGUGUCUGGCAGCGUGCUGGCAAGUCCCGCUUUGGUAAUCACAGCCAGAAAAACCAGAGGAGAUUGUGGGAAAUAUUCACCAAGCCAAAUAUAUAAAACACCUCUUGGUAACUUCAUUUUCUGAUUGAUUCCGGAGAGUCACACUGUGGGAAGAUGGGCUGUCAAAGGCAAGGGGGUGGACACAGUGGCCCUGGGGGGGGGCG